rnacentral:rRNA from 1 species
AUACGGAGGGGGCUAGCGUUGUUCGGAAUUACUGGGCGUAAAGCGCGCGUAGGCGGAUCGUUAAGUCAGGGGUGAAAGCCCGGAGCUCAACUCCGGAACUGCCCUUGAUACUGGCGAUCUAGAGUCCGGGAGAGGUGAGCGGAAUUCCUAGUGUAGAGGUGAAAUUCGUAGAUAUUAGGAGGAACACCAGUGGCGAAGGCGGCUCACUGGCCCGGUACUGACGCUGAGGUGCGAAAGCGUGGGGAGCAAACAGGAUUAGAUACCCUAGUAGUCC